GUAAAAGUCGUAACAAGGUUUCCGUAGGUGAGUGAGGCGUAUUUUCUACUGUUUGUGACAUGCUUGUGAAGAAAAUGACCAGCUAACAUUGUCUUUUAGGUGAACCUGCGGAAGGAUCAUUAAAGAGUAAGGGUCUUCUAGGCCCAACCUCCAACCCUCUGUAUACUUACCUUUGUUGCUUUGGCGGGCCUGCUGGGGAGACCCACCGCUGGCCUUGGCUGGUGAGUGCCCGUCAGAGUCCACCUAAACUCUGUUUAUCAGUGAGGUCUGAGUAUCAUUUAAUAGUUAAAACUUUCAACAACGGAUCUCUUGGUUCUGGCAUCGAUGAAGAACGCAGCGAAAUGCGAUAAGUAAUGUGAAUUGCAGAAUUCAGUGAAUCAUCGAAUCUUUGAACGCACAUUGCGCCCCUUGGUAUUCCGAGGGGCAUGCCUGUUCGAGCGUCAUUACACCACUCAAGCUCAGCUUGGUAGUGGGCCUUCGCCCUCUGGGGCGUGCCCAAAAGUCAGUGGCGGUGCCGCCUGGCUUCAAGCGUAGUAAUCAUCUUUUCGCUUUGGAGGUCAGGUGUGUUGCUUGCCGUUCAAUCCCCCAAACUUCAAAGGUUGACCUCGGAUCAGGUAGGGAUACCCGCUGAACUUAAGCAUAUCAAUAAGCGGAG
rnacentral:rRNA from 1 species